rnacentral:rRNA from 1 species
GAAGCGGCAACAGCUCAAAUUUGAAAUCUGGCGCAAGCCCGAGUUGUAAUUUGUAGAGGAUGCUUCAGGGCAGCGGCCGGUCUAAGUUCCUUGGAACAGGACGUCAUAGAGGGUGAGAAUCCCGUAUGCGACCGGUUGGCACCCGUCACGUAGCUCCUUCGACGAGUCGAGUUGUUUGGGAAUGCAGCUCUAAAUGGGAGGUAAAUUUCUUCUAAAGCUAAAUACCGGCCAGAGACCGAUAGCGCACAAGUAGAGUGAUCGAAAGAUGAAAAGCACUUUGGAAAGAGAGUUAAAAAGCACGUGAAAUUGUUGAAAGGGAAGCGCAUGCAACCAGACUUGUCGGCGGUGUUCCGCCGGUCUUCUGACCGGUCCAUUCGCCGCCGACAGGCCAGCAUCAUCUGGGCGCGCCGGAUAAAGGCGUAGGGAAUGUGGCUCCUCGGAGUAUUAUAGCCCCGCGCACAAUACGGCGCCGCUCGGGUGAGGUCCGCGCUUCGGCUAGGAUGCUGGCGUAAUGGUUGUCUGCGGCCCGUCUUGAAACACGGACCAAGGAGUCUAACAUCUAUGCGAGUGUUCGGGCGUCAAACCCCUACGCGUAAUGAAAGUGAACGGAGGUGGGAAGCGCAAGCUGCACCAUCGACCGAUCCUGAUGUCUUCGGAUGGAUUUGAGUAAGAGCAUAGCUGUUGGGACCCGAAAGAUGGUGAACUAUGCCUGAAUAGGGUGAAGCCAGAGGAAACUCUGGUGGA